AACGAACGCUGGCGGCAUGCCUAACACAUGCAAGUCGAACGAGAUCUUCGGGUCUAGUGGCGCACGGGUGCGUAACGCGUGGGAAUCUGCCCUUUGGUUCGGAAUAACAGUUGGAAACGACUGCUAAUACCGGAUGAUGACGAAAGUCCAAAGAUUUAUCGCCAGAGGAUGAGCCCGCGUAGGAUUAGCUAGUUGGGGUGGUAAAGGCGCACCAAGGCGACGAUCCUUAGCUGGUCUGAGAGGAUGGUCAGCCACACUGGGACUGGGACACGGCCCGGACUCCUACGGGAGGCAGCAGUGGGGAAUAUUGGACAAUGGGCGAAAGCCUGAUCCAGCAAUGCCGCGUGAGUGAUGAAGGCCUUAGGGUUGUAAAGCUCUUUUACCCGGGAUGAUAAUGACAGUACCGGGAGAAUAAGCUCCGGCUAACUCCGUGCCAGCAGCCGCGGUAA
rnacentral:rRNA from 1 species